CGUUGCGCCCCUCGAAAGAAAAAACUUCGCUAUUUCUGUCUUCUGGUAAAAGGCCUUAUCCAGUUAGCCCACAAAUCCCCUUUCCUCGUCUUAAACGGUGGUGGCGAAGAAGCACACCGGCGUUGAUGCCCAAAAGGUCGACCGGGAGGUGGCACCGGAGGGGCUUGGCGAGAAGGUCGGCCGGGGAACCGAAGCAAUUGUGCACCGUCUCCUCCUCGCCCUUUCUCGGAGCUGGAGCUAUGCCACCGGCGGCGGCAGUAGUGUUAAGGAUGCCUAUUUCGUCGUCGUCGUCGAGGUACAUGCAUGCUCCUCUUGCGAGCGCGAUUUGCUUCCCCUGCUGUCACCGCCAGCUGCUCUCCCCCACCGUCUGAUCCCAUGGGCACGCCCUGGUCUAGACGUGUCGACGACGAUGCUGCGUCGGCCGUGUCGCCGGAAUCCACGCAGCGCCGUGGAGAGACCCGAGAACUGCAGCUUCCGCUUCGCCGCCGCCAACCAGCUCCCCUAACGUGAGAACCUGCAUGUUGUUGUGUGUGCAUCCAAAGCUGUCGUGCGGCUACAACAGGGUAACGCAAAGAUUCGGUUCCUUCAUCACAUAGCUUGGGCCUCAAGUUGUGCCACACUUCUUUGUUUUUUGAAUGCAGCCCCAAGCACGCUGCUAGCUAGUUGUAUCUAAGCAUUUUGCGCCAAACAUAUGUGCCCUGGUCUUUCACUUCAGAAUAGUCGGUAUGUUGUCGAGUGGAGUUGCCUAGUAACAUUUUUUAUGUAAGUGUUUUCUGUGAUAGGAGUUUGGAUAGUUGUAUGGGGCGAUUAGUUAUUUCGUGCGGAACGAAGACAUCACCAUCAUCAUCCUGCUUGUGAAAGGGGUUAGUAGGGAUAGAGCAACUGUGCAAAGACAAUGGAACAACUUUGAAGUAGAAUAGAGCAACUCCAGGCCACAAAUCACAAAGCACCAUAAAUAAAACACGGUGGGAUUUUGGAAGAACUACCACGCAACAAAAGUGUUGGAUUCAGAAGGCGACUUUCCACUCUAAGAAUAGAGUAGUUACUUGGAUUUUUUUAAAAGAGUUGAAUUUGGUGUGUGUGUGUGUGUGUACUGCAGUUACUUUGUUUUGUUGGGGCAGUUGCUCGGAUUCGUUUUUGAACAUUUUGUUGCAUUUCUACCUUUUGUAAUGUAGUUGCUUGGUUUUUCUUGGACAGUUGCUUCCUUUUUACUAGAACACUUUUGCAUUUUGUGUUUUUUAAUUGAGUUGCUUGGAUUUUUGCUAGGCCAGAUGAGAAGUUGCAUGGGGAGGGGGGUCAGAUAGUUUUCCACAAAGGUUAUUCAAGUUUCUCACACAUUUUUUUCUUCCUAAAGUAGUAGAUAAUCUAAGUAGUAAUGCUAGGGACAGUUACCUGUUUUUGCUAGAACAAUUUCACGCUUUUCUAUUCCGAGUUGCUUGGAUUGUUUGCUUGUAAGUUUUUUAGAUUAUCAUCUCAUAUUUGAAUACCCAUAUAGACUGGGAAGAUACAUCUAGGAAGUAUUUCCUAAUGGCCUAGAACUAAUGUGAUGAUUCAUUUGCAUGGUUAUUUUGACUGAAGGGUGCAGAAUAUGAAGUAAACUGACCAUGAUAGUUUUAGGAUCAGAAAGUUGGGAUACACAUUGAUAUUAGCAAGAGUAGUAGCUUAUUUCGGUAGUGCACACUCAAUUUUUAGGAAAUAUAGCUAGAACUAAUAUGGCUAAUACACAAGCUUCUACUUUCAAUGUGCGAUUGUUUGCUGGAAUAUGUGCACAUUUUGCAACCCCUGGUAUUAGUAGUUGUUGCACAUCUGCAAAGAGUUGCUCAAACUCAAUCAUGGGAAAUCCAUGUACAAGUGUAGAUUUAUUUAACCUCUCUUCUCAGUCAAGCUAACAGAUAGGUGUUUUUUUGUGAGAUGGGUCAUGGACUAAAUUCAUAGAUAAGUUGGACAUGACAACAGUCAAUGCACACCAAGCCUUAUUGAAAUUGGAAAGGGAGCAGGUUGUGGGACAACGGUCCCUGUGCAACUAUCAGAAUAGCACGCUGGCGGUGAGCGUCUCCAAGGCAAGGGAGAAGAGGACGUUGCAGCUCAAGGGGGGGGGGGUCUCACUACGUGAAGAAUUAUUGAAGAACGAUGAGGGCCGGAGACAUUGUUUCUCUUUUCCAUAGAGAAGCUAUUAAAAUAGGGAAGAAGAAGAAGAAGGUAGGGAAUAUGCUUGAUAUGGCUGAAGAGCAAACCAGAGAACUUGUGUGUAUGCGGUUGUGAUUUAAGAGCAAACUCAUGAACCAACAGUGUCUAUGUCGAAUGUGACCAUAGAGCAAAAGCAUAGGCCAGAAACAUAGUCUUUUUAAACUUCUCAAGGUAUGUACUAUGGUCCAUGUAGUAUAUACUAUGUAGGCUUCUUUAUAAAAAGCUAAGAUUUAAUUGAGAAUUUUAGUGUGUU